rnacentral:rRNA from 1 species
AGCAGUAGCCACGGGAAUACGUAGGUGGCAAGCGUUGUCCGGAAUUAUCGGGCGUAAAGGGCUCGCAGGCGGUUUCUUAAGUCUGAUGUGAAAGCCCCCGGCUCAACCGGGGAGGGUCAUUGGAAACUGGGAAACUUGAGUGCAGAAGAGGAGAGUGGAAUUCCACGUGUAGCGGUGAGAUGCGUAGAGAUGUGGAGGAACACCAGUGGCGAAGGCGACUCUCUGGUCUGUAACUGACGCUGAGGAGCGAAAGCGUGGGGAGCGAACAGGAUUAGAUACCCCCGUAGUCCCUGUCUCUUAUAC